rnacentral:rRNA from 1 species
CGCGGCCUAUCAGCUUGUUGGUGAGGUAAUGGCUCACCGAGGCGACGGCGGGUAGCCGGCCUGAGAGGGCGACCGGCCACACUGGGACUGAGACACGGCCCAGACUCCUACGGGAGGCAGCAGUGGGGAAUAUUGGGCAAUGGAGGAAACUCUGACCCAGCGACGCCGCGUGCGGGAUGAAGGCCUUCGGGUUGUAAACCGCUUUCAGCAGGGAAGAAGCGAAAGUGACGGUACCUGCAGAAGAAGCACCGGCUAACUAUGUGCCAGCAGCCGCGGUAAUACAUAGGGUGCAAGCGUUGUCCGGAAUUAUUGGGCGUAAAGAGCUCGUAGGUGGUUCGUCACGUCGGAUGUGAAACUCUGGGGCUUAACCCCAGACCUGCAUUCGAUACGGGCGAGCUUGAGUAUGGUAGGGGAGUCUGGAAUUCCUGGUGUAGCGGUGGAAUGCGCAGAUAUCGGGAGGAACACCAAUGGCGAAGGCAGGACUCUGGGCCAUUACUGACACUGAGGAGCGAAAGCGUGGGGAGCGAACAGGAUUAGAUACCCUGGUAGUCCACGCCGUAAACGGUGGGCACUAGUUGUGGGGACCUUCCACGGUCUCUGCGACGCAGCUAACGCAUUAAGUGCCCCGCCUGGGGAGUACGG